GUGUGAAAAUGGAUACCCAACCUCCAUUUUUUUUUCCUUAACCAUCUCCUGAAGAGCAGAGCAUUCAGAAAGGAAAUGGCUCGUCUAAUAAGCAAAAGACAGCAUUAGCGUGAGGGUCAGGCAUCCCAGUGGGACAGAAGUUGGCAGCCCAAGGCUGGUACCAUUGCUGCACAUUCACCAAAUAUUCCCCAAGUCUUAUUCUGUUAAGUUCAGCAUUUGACAUCUGCUUUAUAGUACAAGAAUGCCACAUGGACUCAGCCAUGAUGGCAGCAUCCCACCCAGCAUCUGAUAGGUGAUUUUUGUCAGUGGAACAAAAUACCAGAGCAAAUAAAUCCGUGUAGGAAGAAAAAAUAUAUUUUGGCUCAUGGUUUCACCAUAUGGCCAGCUGACUCUAUUGCUUCUGGGGUUGUGGCAAGGCAAGAACAUCAUAGUAGAAAGGCACAAUGGAGGGAAACUUCUAUUUCCAAGGCAUCCAGAAAGUGGGGGCUCUGGAAGGGGGCAGGGAUAAAUUCCAGCCUGCAAAAGCACAUACUCAGUGACCCACUUCCCCCAAGGGAACCCCUGCCUCCCGAUUUCCACCACUUCCCAAUGAUGCCAUUGGGGUAUGAGUUCAUUGGUGGGUUAAUCCCUUGAAUGUGUCAACUGAUUAUGUCAGUGUCCUUAUGAUACAGUUGCCUUCCAAAGCUCAUCUCUGGGGACCAUGCCUUUGCCAUGAGGGGUUUUCUUUGGGGAGGCAGAAGAUACUCCAGGCUCAAACCAUAACACAGCAGGAUAGGAGAAGAGCAAGCAUAGCCUCUGUUCAUAAGAACUCUUUUCCUGAGACUGAGGGAUGGCUCAGUUAGUAAAGUGCCCACUGCACCUGGCUGGAUCCCCAACACCCAUGUAAAGAGCCAAGUGCAGAAGCACACAUCUGUAACCCCAGCACGGGGAAGGCAGGGGGAUGAGGAUCCCUGGAUCUUGCUGGUGAGCCAGUCUAGCCAAAUUGUUGAGCUCCAGGUCCAGAGAAAAGCCCUGUCUCAAAAUUAAGGUGGAGAUGGAAGAGGAGUCCUAUUGUUGACCUCUGACCUCAACACACAAACAUACACAAGCACACAUACAUGAAAAUCUACACAAACAGAGAGAGAGAGAGAUUGAGAGAGAGAGAGAGAUUGAGAGAGAGAGAGAGAGAGAGAGAGAGAGAGAGAGAGAAAGAAGAGAGAAUUCUUCUUUGUAGUCACUAGCAGUCACUAGCAGAUCUUUCACUUACCCACCAUUAGCCCCAGUGAGAAAACUGCCUUUCAAUGCUUGCAAGGGAGGCCAGAAAAUUCAGUUUCUAUUCUAAGUAGGGCCACCAUCUUUCUUUUCACUCCAGUGGCACUAAGGGUGGAAAUUAAUACCUCAUGUAUGCUGACCAAGAGCCACAGCUCCGACCCUUCUGUCACCAUCUUACUCAGAACAAGAAAAAUGUCCUUCUCUUUGCAGACAGAGCCUCUAUGGACAGGGUGACACUGGCUCCCCACCUUUGUAUCCCUAGAAGACCAUCAGAGAAACCUUCCAGGAGAUGCACAGCAGCUCUCCUCCUGGCUCUACAGUCAGCUUCUCAUGGCACAAUCCCACAGCCAAACCCUAUUUUGUUUGAUAUUUGAUAAUGUUUGUGGAUGUUGAGAACAGGCUAUUGUCCUUCCAGGUCAGAUGACAUAGCAUGGCAGUUGGCUACAUGAGACACUGUUGAGAAAGAUUCUGGGGACAUGUCUUGUGGCCUCAAACUUGGGACCAUUGGUGAAUCCUUGGCCCAUGUUUCUAGGCUGCUCAGUCUAUUUGUGAAGGCAGGCUAUAUAGCCCAUGCACUCUUCAUCCAGUGAUCAAAUUGACUUAACUCUUUCUUCAAGACUCGUUGCUGUAUCUAAUUAAACAAAAAUGCUUUAAAACAAAGAUUGAGUCUGAUAGGAGCUAACAAAUUACUUUAUGACUGCCCAAGCAAUUUCCAAGUGUAAUGUAUUUUUUUUCUGAGAAAAUCAAAACAGG
rnacentral:lncRNA from 1 species